AUUGAACGCUGGCGGCAUGCUUUACACAUGCAAGUCGAACGGUAACAGGGAGCUUGCUCCGCUGACGAGUGGCGAACGGGUGAGUAAUAUAUCGGAACGUACCCAAGAGUGGGGGAUAACGUAGCGAAAGUUACGCUAAUACCGCAUACGAUCUAAGGAUGAAAGCAGGGGAUCUUCGGACCUUGUGCUCCUGGAGCGGCCGAUAUCUGAUUAGCUAGUUGGUGAGGUAAAGGCUCACCAAGGCGACGAUCAGUAGCUGGUCUGAGAGGACGACCAGCCACACUGGAACUGAGACACGGUCCAGACUCCUACGGGAGGCAGCGGUGGGGAAUUUUGGACAAUGGGCGCAAGCCUGAUCCAGCAAUGCCGCGUGAGUGAAGAAGGCCUUCGGGUUGUAAAGCUCUUUUGUCAGGGAAGAAACGGGAGUGGCUAAUAUCCAAUCCUAAUGACGGUACCUGAAGAAUAAGCACCGGCUAACUACGUGCCAGCCGCCGCGGUAACAC
rnacentral:rRNA from 1 species